UGCAAAUUUCGAUUUAGACUCUGGCCAAAAUUAAAUUAAAUAAAAAGGAGUACGUACAAAAUUCUUCAUCUUUUUCCUUUUGUUUCGUUUCAAUUUGGCAACUGUAAACAGGAGUUUUGUGUGCAACAUUUCAUAUUGUUGAAAUAAAAAAUAUGUUUUGAAAAAUAAAACCGGUGCUAAUGCUCCCCAAACGGAUGACAUGUGAAUGGAAAUCAUCUACAUAAAAAAGAUUUCAUCAUCUUGAAAAGCCACUAAUAAAAUAAAAUUAAACGUAGAAUUGGGAAUUAAUCUAAUACAUUUAACGAAGCAAACCACUCACCAUCAACAGCAUCACAAGAAGAAAUUGAAGAAAAAUGAUUUCGAUAAAAGUUCAUUGUAACAUAAUAUUUGGUUUUAUGGUCAUAUGCGUCAAUAUUGGCUGCCAUUGGGGCUGCUAAUGCUGGGGCAGAUGUUUUGUUGUUACUUCCAAUUGAAAUAAAAAAAUACAACAAUAAGCCACGUUUAGAACAGCAACAACAACGACGAUUUCCAGCUAAAAGAUAAAUGCUAAAUGAUAAUGAAUAAUGCAAUCGGCCGCAUUGGAAACGUUACAUCAUCCAACUUUAUCAAUACUAAUAGAUCUGUGCCAUAUUGGGAAUAUGCCGCCUUGCUACAACCACUGGCCGCGAACAUACCGAGAGCACAUAAUAUGGCUGCGCAACAGGCACAGAAAGAACAACAUCCGCCAGAGCUGUUGCUGCAGCAAUCAAACUUACCCGCCUUCUCAAGAAACGACAAUCACAGCCCUGCAUCAGCGCCGUCUACGGCAGAGACCACUCAAACACCUGCGUCACAAUUCUAUUCGAGUUUCAAUAUCUCAGAUGAUCUCUUUUACUACUUCAAUGGGUUCCUGGAGCGUGGAAACGCUCCGGAAGUCUCAACCUCGCCGACACCUGUUGAAACUAUUACCACACCCGCGGAAACCUUCAACGUCACGAGCAUACCUCAAGAGCCGGACUUUAGCGAGUUCCUCAGUGCAUUGCCCAAUGAUCGUGUUAGCCUGCUGUCCUUCCUAUUUCUCUUUUCUUUUGCCACUGUGUUCGGUAACUCACUGGUCAUCUUGGCCGUCAUAAGGGAGCGUUAUCUCCAUACAGCCACAAAUUAUUUUAUUACAAGUCUGGCGGUGGCUGAUUGUCUGGUUGGCUUGGUUGUGAUGCCUUUUUCCGCCCUUUACGAGGUGCUGGAGAAUACUUGGUUCUUUGGGACGGAUUGGUGUGAUAUUUGGCGCUCAUUGGAUGUUCUCUUCAGUACGGCUUCCAUACUCAAUCUUUGUGUAAUAUCGCUGGAUCGAUAUUGGGCUAUAACAGAUCCCUUCUCAUAUCCUAUGCGCAUGACUGUAAAAAGAGCUGCCGCUCUUAUAUGCGCAGUAUGGGUGUGUUCGAGUGCCAUAAGUUUUCCUGCGAUAGUGUGGUGGCGUGCAGCCCGUGAUGGCGAGAUGCCUGCCUACAAGUGUACCUUUACGGAGCACUUGGGAUAUCUGGUCUUUUCCUCUACAAUAUCCUUUUAUCUGCCGUUACUCGUGAUGGUAUUUACGUAUUGUCGUAUUUAUAGGGCGGCCGUAAUACAAACUCGUUCACUGAAGAUCGGUACCAAACAGGUACUCAUGGCCUCCGGUGAACUACAGUUAACGUUACGUAUCCAUCGUGGCGGUACCACACGAGAACCCUCGACCAGCUCUCACCAUCAGGCGCUGCACGGUUCGCUGGGUGGGGCGCCGAGUGGCGGAUCGCAACAUCACCCCCACUCACAUCACCAUCACCGCACUUCGCACCACAAUCACAGUGCCGCGGGGACAACCACCUCAACGCCGGAGGAACCGGACGACGAACCUCUAUCGGCAUUACAGAACAAUGGUUUGGCACGGCAUCGUCACAUGGGCGGCAAGAAUUUCUCAUGGUCUCGCAAACUGGCAAAAUUCGCCAAAGAAAAGAAAGCUGCCAAAACUUUGGGCAUUGUCAUGGGUGUGUUUAUUGUUUGUUGGCUGCCAUUUUUCGUUGUAAAUUUGCUGUCAGGCUUUUGUAUGGAGUGCAUAGAACACGAAGAAAUUGUUUCAGCGGUUGUUACUUGGUUGGGCUGGAUUAAUUCCGGCAUGAAUCCUGUAAUUUAUGCAUGCUGGAGCAGAGAUUUCCGAAGAGCUUUUGUGCGUAUAUUGUGUGUAUGUUGUCCACGUAAAAUACGGCGAAAAUAUCAACCAACGAUGCGUUCAAAAUCUCAGAGAUUCGCUACAAGACGAUGUUACUCAACAUGUUCUCUGCAUGGGAUCCAACAUGUGCGACACAAUUCAUGCGAACAAACGUACAUUUAGUAAUAAUGAAAGAAAAAUUAUUUCAACAUCACAACACGAAACAUCUGCCGCCAGUGCAUCAACGUAUACCAUCCUCAGUAACAUAUCAGAACGGCCAACAAAUAUUACAACAAAAAGUUGGCAAAUAAAACAAAAAAUAUAUAUUCUAUAAGAAAUACUAAAAGAUGAUGUAUUAUUUUAAUAAUACAUUGAACCUUUUUCGCUCGUAUUCUAGUGGCCUUUUUCUACACUCCUCUCCAGUUUAUACUUCAGAAAAAUCGUUUACUGCUCCACCAUCACCACUCUGUGAGUGCCUCCAUGCACAUGGAAAACAAUUUGUGCAAUUUUUUCAUUAAACAUAUUAAAAUUAAAUUUUCCAUGAAAAAUGCCAACAUUUAUAAAUUCUCCUGCACACACAGCCAACGGAGGCGGUAAUAAAAUAAAGUGAGCAGCUAGUGAAUGAGAGAACUAAUGCGUGUGUAUGUGUGCGAUUUACGAGACAACUUCUUGGUUCGACAUUAUGCAACGUUGGAAACGGGGAUAAAUUGCGAGAAAAGAAAACAAAAAUAAGAAGAUUAUAAAGUUUUUGUUGCCUGAUUUUGAUUUGGUUGAAUUAUUGUUGAUUCUGUUGUUGUUUUAUUUUGUUUGUCAUCCUACACGUUUUCACAUUGUCUACGUCUUCUCUUAACGAUUGGUGUGUGUGUGGUGUGUUAUUGGGCAAAUGACAAAGACUUCCUUAAUAACUCUUCAUAUUGUUCAUCAACAUCAUUGUCGACGUAAUUGUCAUCAUCAUCAACAUCAGUAGCAUCAUCAUUAUUGUCUUGUUUGUUUAAGUUUGUUAAACAAAUAAAAACAAUGACUUCCUUAAAAAAAAUACAAGCAAACAUAUCAAAAAGGCACCUUAUAUACACAUGCAUUCGAAAAAAACUUUCUACGUUAUGUUGAAUUGUAUUUGUUCUUGCUAAUAAGUUAGUGUGAAAAGUGUGUAAGAGUUCUUAUUUCAACAACAACAACGUCGUCUUUUACUUUGGUGUUUAUGUUUAUCUACUGUUUUCACAAACAACUAUUCUCCUAUCUGCUUCGUAAGCCUUUGGCCCAUUCACCGAGCGAAUCAGUUGCCUUUGGUCACAUAGAUUUAAGCACAAGUUAUUAAGUCUACAAACACACAAAUCUACACCGACAACACCCACAGUAAAACACGC
rnacentral:misc_RNA from 1 species